rnacentral:lncRNA from 1 species
UCUAAGGCUUGACCAUAUGAUCCUUGGUGUAAUAAUGUGAUCAGAAACAAGAGAGUGGUUAAUUUGUGAAUGUGCUGUUUCUACUUUUGAUUUUGCACUCUUACUGUACUUGAUAGGCAUUAGAGUCUGAGGCAACCAUCCCAUCUAAGGGUUGACCAUAUGAUCCUUGGUGUAAUAAUGUGAUCAGAAACAAGAGAAUGGUUAAUUUGUGAAUGUGCUGUUUCUACUUUUGAAUUUGCACUUUCACUGUACUUGAUCAGCAUGAUAAUGAAAACAUGGGAGAGUAACUUUAAUCUGAAUUCGCAUGUCAGUCGUCAUUUGCCUGGAAAAUAUUUGAGUACAUGAUACAAAUAAGGUCAUCAGAAUGAUGAUUGCUUUUGUUGCUUAACUCUUCAAUUUUGCAGUCUUUUGUUGUAAAAUAUUGUAUAUUUUCCCUUAAAAAUAAUUUAUGACAAAUUGGUUAUUUCAGCGAAG